UUAAAGCUUUCUAGGAAACAGACAAUGACUUGCCCAGGAUCACACGUUUAGUGUGAGAGGCAAUGUUGAACCCAGGUGCUUUAGCUUUGAGGUCAACUCUCUAGCUCUUUAGACAUGCUGUCUCUAGUUAGUUUUUUUUUUUUUCUUUUAAGUCUUUAUAUAAAUAGUCAGCUUAUUGAAGGGUCACAAAUUUGAGACUUCUUUCAAACUCAAACAUGGGUAUUGAUAAUUUUCGAGGUGCCCAAAUAUGGCUGUAAAGGAAGCAGAAGAAGAUGAAGAAGUUGAUGAGGAUAUUCUUAUAACAACACCACCCAAGAAAAUGCUUCAGCAGAAACAAAAGAAACGGAACAAGACUACUAUUUUCUGGCUUGGAGUUCCAAUCAAGGAUGGAGAAAGAAAUUAUUAUAAGGAAGUGUCCAUUAACUCUGAAAAACUAGAAGUAGGAGAUUGUGUAGCCAUCAGUCCUGAUGACCCUACUAAACCACUAUGGUUAGCUAGGUUUGUAUCCUAUGUCUCAUCUCUAAUUUUUUUUCUCCCCUUUCUGUGUAUUCCUCAUUUCAAUGUGUUUAGACAUAUUUCUCGGGGUCAGGGAAGCAUUCAAAUAGCCUUUUAAAAAACCAUUAUUUGACUAAUUCUUCACUGGGGAAUAUUUAUUAGAUUUUAUUUGUUGGAUCCCUACAUGAUUAUCAAACGAUUAUAAAAUACUUGAUGAAAGAUGUUUAUUCCCUUCUUAUAUUAGUAAUUUUGACUUUGUGGUUCAGAAGAUUUUUCAUUUUCAUAUAGUCAAAUUUGUCUAAUCAAUCUUUGAGAUUGCUUAACUUGGAACCCUUCCCCAUCCAUUAAAAGAAUACUGGUUGUAGUAUGUUGGCACAGCCCACUCAUGAGCAAUUCAUUCUCUUUAAAUCAUCUUUUAUCUUCUAAAAAGUUUUAUUUAACUUUUUUUUCACAUCAUAGUUAUCUCCAGAGUCUCUUCCUAGAAAGCCAUCUCAAAUAACAAAUAGUAUCUUUUAAAGACAAAAAGACAGGAUUAAAAAAAAAAAACUAUUUUCAAUGUUCAUGUAGCAUAUCUAUUUAGUUGCGGUAUAAAAUAUUGCCUAAGCAUAAUUUUUGCUAAACUACUUUAUAGUUUUAAUAGUACUUCUUGUUAACUAAGGAAUUCUUCCCCAAGAAAUAUUUCUGUUUUAUUAAGGUUAUUGAGUUGGAUUGAUUCUUUCUUGUUUAGAUUCUUGGACUGAACUUUUUUUUUUUUU